AUUGAACGCUGGCGGCCGGCCUAACACAUGCAAGUCGAACGAGUGGCGGACUGGUGAGUAAUGUCUGGGAAACUGCCCGAUUGAGGGGGCUAACUACUGGAAACGGUAGCUAAUACCGCAUACCCUCAGAUGUGCCCAGAUGGGAUUAGCUAGUAGGUGGGGUAAUGGCUCACCUAGGCGACGCUCCCUAGCUGGUCUGAGCGUGUGACCAGCCACAAUGGAACUGAGACAAGGUCCAGACUCCUACGUGAGGCAGCAGUGGGGAAUAUUGCACAAUGGGCGCAAGCCUGAGGCAGCCAUGCCGAGUGUGUGAAGAAGGCGUUCGGGUUGUAAAGCACUUUCAGCGGGGAGGCGUUACCCGCAGAAGAAGCACCGGCUAACUCCGUGCCAGCCGCCGCGGUAAUUC
rnacentral:rRNA from 1 species